GACGAACCGUCCAAACGUUAUUCGGUAUCACUGGGCUUAAAGAGUUCGUAGGCGGCCCUGCAGGUCAGGUGUGAAAUCCCACAGCUCAACUGUGGAACUGCGCUUGAAACCGCAAGGCUUGAGGGAGAUAGAGGUGAGCGGAACAGAUGGUGGAGCGGUGAAAUGCGUUGAUAUCAUCUGGAACACCGGUGGCGAAAGCG
rnacentral:rRNA from 1 species